rnacentral:rRNA from 1 species
GACGAACGCUGGCGGCGUGCUUAACACAUGCAAGUCGAACGGAAAGGCCCUGCUUUUGUGGGGUGCUCGAGUGGCGAACGGGUGAGUAACACGUGAGUAACCUGCCCUUGACUUUGGGAUAACUUCAGGAAACUGGGGCUAAUACCGGAUAGGAGCUCCUGCUGCAUGGUGGGGGUUGGAAAGUUUCGGCGGUUGGGGAUGGACUCGCGGCUUAUCAGCUUGUUGGUGGGGUAGUGGCUUACCAAGGCUUUGACGGGUAGCCGGCCUGAGAGGGUGACCGGCCACAUUGGGACUGAGAUACGGCCCAGACUCCUACGGGAGGCAGCAGUGGGGAAUAUUGCACAAUGGGCGGAAGCCUGAUGCAGCAACGCCGCGUGCGGGAUGACGGCCUUCGGGUUGUAAACCGCUUUCGCCUGUGACGAAGCGUGAGUGACGGUAAUGGGUAAAGAAGCACCGGCUAACUACGUGCCAGCAGCCGCGGUGAUACGUAGGGUGCGAGCGUUGUCCGGAUUUAUUGGGCGUAAAGGGCUCGUAGGUGGUUGAUCGCGUCGGAAGUGUAAUCUUGGGGCUUAACCCUGAGCGUGCUUUCGAUACGGGUUGACUUGAGGAAGGUAGGGGAGAAUGGAAUUCCUGGUGGAGCGGUGGAAUGCGCAGAUAUCAGGAGGAACACCAGUGGCGAAGGCGGUUCUCUGGGCCUUUCCUGACGCUGAGGAGCGAAAGCGUGGGGAGCGAACAGGCUUAGAUACCCUGGUAGUCCACGCUGUAAACGGUGGGUACUAGGUGUGGGGUCCAUUCCACGGGUUCCGUGCCGUAGCUAACGCUUUAAGUACCCCGCCUGGGGAGUACGGCCGCAAGGCUAAAACUCAAAGGAAUUGACGGGGCCCCGCACAAGCGGCGGAGCAUGCGGAUUAAUUCGAUGCAACGCGUAGAACCUUACCUGGGUUUGACAUGGAUCGGGAGCGCUCAGAGAUGGGUGUGCCUCUUUUGGGGUCGGUUCACAGGUGGUGCAUGGCUGUCGUCAGCUCGUGUCGUGAGAUGUUGGGUUAAGUCCCGCAACGAGCGCAACCCUUGUUCACUGUUGCCAGCACGUUAUGGUGGGGACUCAGUGGAGACCGCCGGGGUCAACUCGGAGGAAGGUGGGGAUGACGUCAAGUCAUCAUGCCCCUUAUGUCCAGGGCUUCACGCAUGCUACAAUGGCUGGUACAGAGGGUGGCGAGCCUGUGAGGGUGAGCGAAUCUCGGAAAGCCGGUCUCAGUUCGGAUUGGGGUCUGCAACUCGACCUCAUGAAGUCGGAGUCGCUAGUAAUCGCAGAUCAGCAACGCUGCGGUGAAUACGUUCCCGGG